rnacentral:rRNA from 1 species
UCGCCGGAAGACCAAGGGUUCCUGUCCAACGUUAAUCGGGGCAGGGUGAGUCGACCCCUAAGGCGAGGCCGAAAGGCGUAGUCGAUGGGAAACAGGUUAAUAUUCCUGUACUUGGUGUUACUGCGAAGGGGGGACGGAGAAGGCUAUGUUGGCCGGGCGACGGUUGUCCCGGUUUAAGCGUGUAGGCUGGUUUUCCAGGCAAAUCCGGAAAAUCAAGGCUGAGGCGUGAUGACGAGGCACUACGGUGCUGAAGCAACAAAUGCCCUGCUUCCAGGAAAAGCCUCUAAGCAUCAGGUAACAUCAAAUCGUACCCCAAACCGACACAGGUGGUCAGGUAGAGAAUACCAAGGCGCUUGAGAGAACUCGGGUGAAGGAACUAGGCAAAAUGGUGCCGUAACUUCGGGAGAAGGCACGCUGAUAUGUAGGUGAAGUCCCUCGCGGAUGGAGCUGAAAUCAGUCGAAGAUACCAGCUGGCUGCAACUGUUUAUUAAAAACACAGCACUGUGCAAACACGAAAGUGGACGUAUACGGUGUGACGCCUGCCCGGUGCCGGAAGGUUAAUUGAUGGGGUUAGCGGUAACGCGAAGCUCUUGAUCGAAGCCCCGGUAAACGGCGGCCGUAACUAUAACGGUCCUAAGGUAGCGAAAUUCCUUGUCGGGUAAGUUCCGACCUGCACGAAUGGCGUAAUGAUGGCCAGGCUGUCUCCACCCGAGACUCAGUGAAAUUGAACUCGCUGUGAAGAUGCAGUGUACCCGCGGCAAGACGGAAAGACCCCGUGAACCUUUACUAUAGCUUGACACUGAACAUUGAGCCUUGAUGUGUAGGAUAGGUGGGAGGCUUUGAAGUGUGGACGCCAGUCUGCAUGGAGCCGGCCUUGAAAUACCACCCUUUAAUGUUUGAUGUUCUAACGUUGGCCCCUGAUCGGGGUUGCGGACAGUGUCUGGUGGGUAGUUUGACUGGGGCGGUCUCCUCCUAAAGAGUAACGGAGGAGCACGAAGGUUGGCUAAUCCUGGUCGGACAUCAGGAGGUUAGUGCAAUGGCAUAAGCCAGCUUGACUGCGAGCGUGACGGCGCGAGCAGGUGCGAAAGCAGGUCAUAGUGAUCCGGUGGUUCUGAAUGGAAGGGCCAUCGCUCAACGGAUAAAAGGUACUCCGGGGAUAACAGGCUGAUACCGCCCAAGAGUUCAUAUCGACGGCGGUGUUUGGCACCUCGAUGUCGGCUCAUCACAUCCUGGGGCUGAAGUAGGUCCCAAGGGUAUGGCUGUUCGCCAUUUAAAGUGGUACGCGAGCUGGGUUUAGAACGUCGUGAGACAGUUCGGUCCCUAUCUGCCGUGGGCGCUGGAGAACUGAGGGGGGCUGCUCCUAGUACGAGAGGACCGGAGUGGACGCAUCACUGGUGUUCGGGUUGUCAUGCCAAUGGCACUGCCCGGUAGCUAAAUGCGGAAGAGAUAAGUGCUGAAAGCAUCUAAGCACGAAACUUGCCCCGAGAUGAGUUCUCCCUGACUCCUUGAGAGUCCUGAAGGAACGUUGAAGACGACGACGUUGAUAGGCCGGGUGUGUAAGCGCAGCGAUGCGUUAGCUACCGG